rnacentral:rRNA from 1 species
AGCGAACGCUGGCGGCAGGCCUAACACAUGCAAGUCGAACGGCAGCACAGUGGAGCUUGCUCCAUGGGUGGCGAGUGGCGGACGGGUGAGGAAUACAUCGGAAUCUGCCCAGUCGUGGGGGAUAACAUAGGGAAACUUAUGCUAAUACCGCAUACGACCUACGGGUGAAAGCGGGGGAUCGCAAGACCUCGCGCGAUUGGAUGAGCCGAUGUCCGAUUAGCUAGUUGGCGGGGUAAUGGCCCACCAAGGCGACGAUCGGUAGCUGGUCUGGGAGGAUGAUCAGCCACAGGGGAACUGAGACACGGGACAGACUCCUACGGGAGGCAGCAGUGGGGAAUAUUGGACAAUGGGCGCAAGCCUGAUCCAGCCAUGCCGCGUGGGUGAAGAAGGCCUUCGGGUUGUAAAGCCCUUUUGUCCGGAAAGAAAAGCCUCGGAUUAAUACCCUGGGGUGAUGACGGUACCGGAAGAAUAAGCACCGGCUAACUUCGUGCCAGCAGCCGCCGUAAAAC